GACGAACGCUGGCGGCGUGCUUAACACAUGCAAGUCGAACGGUGAAGCGCCUUCCUUUUUGGUGGGUGUGGAUGAGUGGCGAACGGGUGAGUAACACGUGAGUAACCUGCCCCCUUCUUCUGGAUAACCGCAUGAAAGUGUGGCUAAUACGGGAUAUUCUGGGUCUGUCGCAUGAUGGGUCUGGGAAAGAUAUUGUUUCGGUGGGGGAUGGGCUCGCGGCCUAUCAGCUUGUUGGGGGGGUGAUGGCCUACCAAGGCGGUGACGGGUAGCCGGCCUGAGAGGGUGGACGGUCCCACUGGGACUGAGACACGGCCCAGACUCCUACGGGAGGCAGCAGUGGGGAAUAUUGCACAAUGGGCGCAAGCCUGAUGCAGCGACGCCGCGGGAGGGAUGGAGGCCUUCGGGUUGUGAACCUCUUUCGCCAGUGAAGCAGGCCUGCCUCGUUUGUGGGUGGGUUGACGGUAGCUGGAUAAGAAGCGCCGGCUAACUACGUG
rnacentral:rRNA from 1 species